UCCCUUGUGGCUCAGCUGGUGAAGAAUCUGCCUGCAAUGCAGAAGACCUGGGUUCGAUCCUAGGUUGGGAA
rnacentral:tRNA from 1 species